CCUACCUCUCUUCUUUCCUGCCUCCCUCCCUCCCUCCCUGUUUCCCUCCUUCCCUCCUUUCCUCCCCUUCCUUGCUUCUACUUAAAUAUCUGCAUACUGGAACUAUUUCAGUCCUAUAGGAAACAAAGCCAAGGGAGAGGCUUGGGAGCUUUUCAGUACCCAGUCUACUCUCAGCAGUCAGAGAAGGCUGAAAACUACAGAACAACCUGGGCAGAGUUGACUGAGAGAUUCAGUUGACGGCACAUGGAAGGAUGCAGGAAACAGCAUGGAUGUCAUCGCAAACUAGGGAGUCACAUGCCAAGGCAAUGUGAAGCACGCAGCUAGUAGGAAAACUGGACGGCAGGGUGUCGUUUCCCCAGUUUAACAGUCUGACUCCAAAUGGCCUGCUUCACGGACUUUGGUUCUCCUUGGUGAAUGUGCACAUGCUUUUUAGUGUAUGUGUUUAUUGUGCAUAGUAUGAUGUUUUUGAAGCAUGUGCACAGGGUGGAAGAGCAUAAGUGGUAAUUUUUAAGUGUUUUCUUUAAAACGGGAUGGGAUGAAGCACCUUGCUUAUUUACAUAUAUCUUACUGUGGAUGGCAUAACGGUGGGAUCAGGCAAAGGGAGAAGUUGCUCGGCGUGAAGAGACAGAGGGAGGUAAGGGGAUGAGUCUGAUGAGACAUGCAGUAGAGAACGGACCUGGAAAGGGGAGGAAGCCGUGGGGCAUAGGGAGGAAGGGCUUCUCAGCUGGGCUCCCAGUGCAGCCCAGGCAGCCGCAAGUCCAAUCCUCUACCAAAAUGCUCUGUGUAGUCUCCGCCUCCUCAUUUGUGACUUUCUGCAUUAGCCACCAUCUACUGCACAAAGAAACUUCUCUGAGGAGGUCUGAGAGUUGCACUAAUUUGCCUCCUAGAAGCCCAAAGAACGCAGCGACAAAAGAACUCAGCGACAAGGGGACAUUUACACAGUCUCUUGAAUAGCUGACUUCCAGGGGGCCACAGCAUCGAAUGCACCAAUUCAUGUGCAACCAAUCCUGAAAUGUUGCUUGCAGGAGGGUUUCAGCCCCAGCUCAGAGAGGAGACUGGAGCCAGGUAUUCACCCUCUGGGAACACAGGACUUAAGACUUCUCAAGAGAGAACUUCAUGAGAUUACUCACAGGAACAAUUGGUUUAGGAGUUCCAGGCAGCUGGUCGCAUUGUGUCGGCAGCCAGGAAGCAGAGAGAAGACAGAGAGAAGUAACCCUGGCUGUAAAAUCAUAC